rnacentral:rRNA from 1 species
AUUGAACGCUGGCGGCAUGCCUUACACAUGCAAGUCGAACGGCAGCACGGAGCUUGCUCUGGUGGCGAGUGGCGAACGGGUGAGUAAUAUAUCGGAACGUACCCUGGAGUGGGGGAUAACGUAGCGAAAGUUACGCUAAUACCGCAUACGAUCUAAGGAUGAAAGUGGGGGACUCGCAAGAGCCUCAUGCUCGUGGAGCGGCCGAUAUCUGAUUAGCUAGUUGGUAGGGUAAAAGCCUACCAAGGCAUCGAUCAGUAGCUGGUCUGAGAGGACGACCAGCCACACUGGAACUGAGACACGGUCCAGACUCCUACGGGAGGCAGCAGUGGGGACUUUUGGACAAUGGGCGCAAGCCUGAUCCAGCAAUGCCGCGUGAGUGAAGAAGGCCUUCGGGUUGUAAAGCUCUUUUGUCAGGGGAGAAACGGUGAGAGCUAAUAUCUUUUGCUAAUGACGGUACCUGAAGAAUAAGCACCGGCUAACUACGUGCCAGCAGCCGCGGUAAUACGUAGGGUGCAAGCGUUAAUCGGAAUUACUGGGCGUAAAGCGUGCGCAGGCGGUUUUGUAAGUCUGAUGUGAAAUCCCCGGGCUCAACCUGGGAAUUGCAUUGGAGACUGCAAGGCUAGAAUCUGGCAGAGGGGGGUAGAAUUCCACGUGUAGCAGUGAAAUGCGUAGAUAUGUGGAGGAACACCGAUGGCGAAGGCAGCCCCCUGGGUCAAGAUUGACGCUCAUGCACGAAAGCGUGGGGAGCAAACAGGAUUAGAUACCCUGGUAGUCCACGCCCUAAACGAUGUCUACUAGUUGUCGGGUCUUAAUUGACUUGGUAACGCAGCUAACGCGUGAAGUAGACCGCCUGGGGAGUACGGUCGCAAGAUUAAAACUCAAAGGAAUUGACGGGGACCCGCACAAGCGGUGGAUGAUGUGGAUUAAUUCGAUGCAACGCGAAAAACCUUACCUACCCUUGACAUGGAUGGAAUCCCGAAGAGAUUUGGGAGUGCUCGAAAGAGAACCAUUACACAGGUGCUGCAUGGCUGUCGUCAGCUCGUGUCGUGAGAUGUUGGGUUAAGCCCCGCAACGAGCGCAACCCUUGUCAUUAGUUGCUACGAAAGGGCACUCUAAUGAGACUGCCGGUGACAAACCGGAGGAAGGUGGGGAUGACGUCAAGUCCUCAUGGCCCUUAUGGGUAGGGCUUCACACGUCAUACAAUGGUACAUACAGAGCGCCGCCAACCCGCGAGGGGGAGCUAAUCGCAGAAAGUGUAUCGUAGUCCGGAUUGUAGUCUGCAACUCGACUGCAUGAAGUUGGAAUCGCUAGUAAUCGCGGAUCAGCAUGUCGCGGUGAAUACGUUCCCGGGUCU